rnacentral:rRNA from 1 species
UACGUAGGGGGCGAGCGUUGUCCGGAUUUAUUGGGCGUAAAGAGCGUGUAGGCGGCCAGGUAGGUCUGCUGUGAAAACUCGAGGCUCAACCUCGAGACGUCGGCGGAAACCAUCUGGCUAGAGUCCGGAAGAGGAGAGUGGAAUUCCUGGAUGUAGCGGUGAAAUGCGCAGAUAUCAGGAAGAACACCCGUGGCGAAGGCGGCUCUCUGGGACGGUACUGACGCUGAGACGCGAAAGCGUGGGGGAGCGAACAGG